AUGUGGCUAACGAGAAGAGAGAAGGGCAUGAAAGAAAUACGUCAAGGCUUGAGCGUGAAGGAAAGAAGUAAUGUAGGGGAGCAAACAAAAAGAAGAGGUGGAUCUUCUUGGGAAGAAAGAAGAAAGGAGGAGGGCCAAAGUAAAAAAAAGACAGAACAGAGGAGGGGAUCAAAAAUCCCUAGCGCAGCCGAUCCCCAUCGAGCCUGGCAUCUCCAUCUCUCUCCCCCUCACCGCUUCUUCUCCCACCUCCGGCCGCCGCCGCGGCCAGGCCAUCGUGGCGGCGCGCUUCCGCGACCUCGUUGCUCCACCAUCACCCGCGCCAUCCACCACCCACACCAUCAUCCAUCCAUCACAGCGCCAGCCACCAGUGCCCACCUCGCGCGACCUCUCCCUCCAGCCGGCGCGCCCGGCCAGACACACCGCCGCUGCUUCUUCUUCCCUUCUUCCCCGCUUCUCUGA
rnacentral:rRNA from 1 species